AUGCAGAGGUUAGAGGUUUCGUUGAGGAUCAAAGCAAAGAAACUGAAGGAGGACAUCUGUAUGUUGCUUAACACUUGUGAGGACGGGUUGGAGAGAAUAACAUUAGUGGAUUCACUUCAGCAUCUCGGAAUCGAUCACCUUUUUGCAGAACAAAUUCGAACAACAAUAUGGGACAUCCAUGGAACCGAAUUUAGUAGUUCUAGCCUCCACUAUGUUGCUCUCCAAUUUCGGUUGCUUAGAGAGCAUGGAAUUUGGGUAUCUACAUAUGUAUUCAAUAACUUCAGAGGUAAAGAUGGGUGCUUCAGGAAGGACAUAACAAAUGAGCCAAAGGGAUUGUUAAGUUUGUACAACGCUGCUUACCUUUUUGUUCAUAAUGAGCCGGAGCUCGAAGAAGCCAUUUCCUUCGCCAGACAUCAUCUUGAAGUAAUUAGGGGCAGUCUCAACUCCCCUUUAGCUGAGCAAGUCAAACGAGCUCUUCAGGUACCACUUCCAAGGACCUCUAGAAGGGUGGAAACAUUGCACUACUUGUCGGAAUACAGAAAAGAGAAGGACUAUAAACCUCUUAUACUUGAGCUCGCACAGCUGGAUUUUACCCUUCUGUGGCAUGUCCAGCUAAUGGAGCUCAAAGAUAUUAGCGAGUGGUGGAAUAACCUGAAGAGCAUCUGUGGAUUAACCUAUGUGCGUGAUCGUAUUGUGGAGGCUUACUUGUGGUCUCACACAGUGUUCUAUGAGCAAAGUUGUGCACGCGCAAGGAUGAUCAAGGCCAAGUUAAUUACACUAAUCACCAUACUGGAUGAUACAUAUGAUGUACAUGCCACCAUAGAGGAAUGUAGGCUGCUAAAUGCAGCCAUUCAAAGAUAG
rnacentral:rRNA from 1 species